CCUACGGGUGGCAGCAGUGAGGAAUAUUGGUCAAUGGACGAGAGUCUGAACCAGCCAAGUAGCGUGAAGGAUGACUGCCCUAUGGGUUGUAAACUUCUUUUAUAUGGGAAUAAAAUGUUCCACGUGUGGGAUUUUGUAUGUACCAUAUGAAUAAGGAUCGGCUAACUCCGUGCCAGCAGCCGCGGUAAUAUGGAGGAUCCGAGCGUUAUCCGGAUUUAUUGGGUUUAAAGGGAGCGUAGGUGGAUUGUUAAGUCAGUUGUGAAAGUUUGCGGCUCAACCGUAAAAUUGCAGUUGAAACUGGCAGUCUUGAGUACAGUAAAGGUGGGCGGAAUUCGUGGUGUAGCGGUGAAAUGCUUAGAUAUCACGAAGAACUCCGAUUGCGAAGGCAGCUCACUGGACUGCAACUGACGCUGAUGCACGAAAGCGUGGGGAGCAAACAGGAUUAGAUACCCCAGUAGUC
rnacentral:rRNA from 1 species